CUUUGUUACUAUAUUAUCUUUAAGGAUAAUGUAAGAUAUUUUACUUAGUAUUGAUGUGUUCAGCUUUUUUUUAGUUUGAAUAUUGAUGUGUUCAGCUUUUUUAGCUCACCUGGCCCGAAGGGCCAAGUGAGCUUUUCUCAUCACUUGGCGUCCGGCGUCCGUCGUCGUCCGGCGUCGUCCGGCGUCCGUCGUCGUUAACUUUUACAAAAAUCUUCUCCUCUGAAACUACUGGGCCAAAUUUAACCAAACUUGGCCACAAUCAUCAUUGGGGUAUCUAGUUUAAAAAAUGUGUUCGGUUACCCGGCCAACCAACCAAGAUGGCCGCCAUGGCUAAAAAUAGAACAUAGGGGUCAAAUGCAGUUUUUGGCUUAUAACUCUGAAACCGAAGCAUUUAGAGCAAAUCUGACAUGGGGUUAAAUUGUUUAUUAAGUCAAGAUCUAUCUGCCCUAAAAUUUUCAGACGAAUCGGACAACCGGUUGUUGGGUUGCUGCCCCUGAAUUGGCAAUUUUAAGGAAAUUUUGCCGUUAUAUGGUUAUUAUCUUGAAUAUUAUUAUAGAUAGAGAUAAACUGUAAACAGCAAUAAUGUUCAGCAAAGUAAGAUCUACAAAUAAGUCAACAUGACCGAAAUGGUCAGUUGACCCAUAUAGGAGUUAUUGCCCUUUAUAGUCAAUUUUUAACCAUUUUUCGUAAAUCUUAGUAAUCUUUUACAAAAAUUUUCUCCUCUGAAACCACUGGGCCAAAUUUAUCCAAAUUUUGGCCACAAUUAUCUUUGGGGUAUCUAGUUUAAAAAAUGUGUCCAGGGACCCGGCCAACCAACCAAGAUGGCCACCAUGGCUAAAAAUAGAACAUAGGGGGUAAAAUGCAGUUUUUGGCUUAUAACUUAAAAACCAAAGCAUUAAGAG
rnacentral:lncRNA from 1 species